rnacentral:rRNA from 1 species
GGCCAGACUCCUACGGGAGGCAGCAGUGAGGAAUAUUGGUCAAUGGGCGAGAGCCUGAACCAGCCAAGUCGCGUGAGGGAGUACUGCCCUAUGGGUUGUAAACCUCUUUUGUCGGGGAGCAAAAGCCGGACGUGUCCGGCUGUGAGAGUACCCGGAGAAAAAGCAUCGGCUAACUCCGUGCCAGCAGCCGCGGUAAUACGGAGGAUGCGAGCGUUAUCCGGAUUUAUUGGGUUUAAAGGGUGCGCAGGCGGCGAGUUAAGUCAGCGGUAAAAUUGAGGGGCUCAACCUCUUCGAGCCGUUGAAACUGGUUUUCUUGAGUGAGCGAGAAGUAUGCGGAAUGCGUGGUGUAGCGGUGAAAUGCAUAGAUAUCACGCAGAACUCCGAUUGCGAAGGCAGCGUACCGGCGCCCAACUGACGCUCAUGCACGAAAGCGUGGGUAUCGAACAGGAUUAGAUACCCCUGUA